CCCUUGAGGGCAAAGGAAACUUACUCCCUCAAAACAAAGAGAGAAGGGUGUGUCAGCAGGGGAGUCACCAUAGGUGGGGAUCUUGGAAAUCCAUGAACGAGAGUCAUAGAGAUUCAUGCAACACUGGUGUGUAUGUAUGAAAAUCUCUUUCUGUUUUUUAGGGGUGCAGGGUUGCGAAACCUAGAGCCCUAUCUUUAAGCUAUGAGAUGUCAACAUAAUUGUUUUGAGGGCCACCAAUCAGACCACACAUUUUGCCCUACCCGAUUAUAAUGAGUGCUCAUUAGGUAUUGUGAUAACAACACCCUCCUUGUUUGUUAACAAAGGAGCAUUCCGUCCGUGGAUCACCCACUGCAGCUGAGGUGGCAGGAUUAGAGUCUCCCACUCCUUCCCUAGGCUUCCUGAUUCACUCCUGAGCGGACACGUGGUCAUGGGCUCACAUGGUCAGAGGUGCUUUCUCCUCCGGGUUCUGUCUCCUUCAUCCUCUCUUCUUUUUGUCUUCUGGGCUACACUAGGUUCCUUACUGAGAGGAAAGACCUACUAGCCAGCCAGGUUCCUCAGGUGAUCCUGACACAGAGGGUUUCUGAGAACUGGAAGCAAUACAAAAUGGAAUUCCAAAAGCUGGGGACAUCUGCCUGCCUCCCAAGCUCCCUGGGACUGUUGACAAGAGCACUCACAAUGGUUAAACUGCCACAGCUGACUGAAGCCAGUGAGGACAGUCCAACACGUCAGCCUUAGGACUCAGAAGGACAGGUGGCUCAAACAGGUUUUCAGGAGUCUCCCUCCUGCCCGAGAGGAGCCCGGAAGUUCAGCAGAAGGAAGAGGGACUCUCCAUCCUCGUAGAAGCAAAAGGCUUUCUUUCUGUUUGCCUUUUACUGACUGCAGUGAAAGGCCUAGCCUAUGUCCAGUGCCCCAGGUCUUGGUGAAUAAGGUGUGGGCACCUACAAAAGCUAAUCCCUGCUCGUUGUCUCUAGCCACAACUCAAGGGUUCUGCAGCUUGUCUUUGGAAAUGAGUCAACCAACAGUUGGGGAGAAAAACUGUACCUCUAAAUCACUAAUGACACACCUUCAA